AAGUAUCCUGUUGUGAAUACAUAGCAACAGGAGGCAAACCGGGGGAACUGAAACAUCUAAGUACCCCGAGGAAGAGAAAUCAACCGAGAUUCCGAAAGUAGCGGCGAGCGAAAUUGGAUUAGCCCUUAAGCUUUUAAUGAGACAGAUGAAGGCUCUGGAAAGUGCCGCAGUAAAGGGUGAUAGCCCCGUAAUCGACAUCUCAUCAUCAGUGAAAACGAGUAGGGCGGGACACGUGAUAUCCUGUCUGAAUAUGGGGGGACCAUCCUCCAAGGCUAAAUACUACUGACUGACCGAUAGUGAACCAGUACCGUGAGGGAAAGGCGAAAAGAACCCCUGUGAGGGGAGUGAAAUAGAACCUGAAACCGUGUACGUACAAGCAGUAGGAGCACCUUCGUGGUGUGACUGCGUACCUUUUGUAUAAUGGGUCAGCGACUUAAUUUUAGUAGCAAGGUUAACCGUUUAGGGGAGCCGUAGGGAAACCGAGUCUUAACUGGGCGUACAGUUGCUAGGAUUAGACCCGAAACCAGGUGAUCUAGCCAUGGGCAGGUUGAAGGUUGAGUAACAUCAACUGGAGGACCGAACCGACUAAUGUUGAAAAAUUAGCGGAUGACUUGUGGCUAGGGGUGAAAGGCCAAUCAAACCUGGAGAUAGCUGGUUCUCCCCGAAAGCUAUUUAGGUAGCGCCUCGGACGAAUACUACUGGGGGUAGAGCACUGUUAAGGCUAGGGGGUCAUCCCGACUUACCAACCCUUUGCAAACUCCGAAUACCAGUAAGUACUAUCCGGGAGACACACGGCGGGUGCUAACGUCCGUCGUGGAGAGGGAAACAACCCAGACCGCCAGCUAAGGUCCCAAAGUAUAGCUAAGUGGGAAACGAUGUGGGAAGGCUCAGACAGCCAGGAUGUUGGCUUAGAAGCAGCCAUCAUUUAAAGAAAGCGUAAUAGCUCACUGGUCGAGUCGGCCUGCGCGGAAGAUGUAACGGGGCUAAGCUAUACACCGAAGCUGCGGCUACGUACCUUAGGGUAUGUGGGGUAGGGGAGCGUUCUGUAAGCCGUUGAAGGUGGUCUGUAAGGGCUGCUGGAGGUAUCAGAAGUGCGAAUGCUGACAUGAGUAACGAUAAAGGGAGUGAAAAACUCCCUCGCCGGAAGACCAAGGGUUCCUGUCCAACGUUAAUCGGGGCAGGGUAAGUCGACUCCUAAGGCGAGGCCGAAAGGCGUAGUCGAUGGGAAAC
rnacentral:rRNA from 1 species